rnacentral:pre_miRNA from 18 species
AAAAUGCCUUACCGAUACUUGGUCGACAAUUUAAUAGUAUCUGAUUAAUUGAUGGAUAGUAUUAGUUGUGCGACCAGGAAAUGGUAUGAGCAUUUC